AAGACUAGGAAUAUCUGUACUUUGUAUAUAAAAAAAAUUUUUCAUCUAAGUGAAAAGACUUGGAUAAAAAAGGAAGACGAAAAGACCCCGCGGAACUUUACCUUUUCUUACACCUCUGUUCACAAACUUAAAGGUCUAUAAG
rnacentral:rRNA from 1 species